UAAAUAUUAGGUAAAGCUACAAAGAGCUAAUGGGGAAUGCCUUGGUACUGACAGCCGAUGAAGGACGUGUAAAGCUGCGAUAAGCUGCGGGGAACUGCUAAAAGGUCUUGAUCCGCAGAAAUCCGAAUGGGGAAACCCUAUCAAGUUAAAACUUGAUAACUCACAAGUGAAUACAUAGCUUGUGUAGAGGAAAGCCUGUGAACUGAAACAUCUUAGUAACAGGACGAAGAGAAAAUAACCCAAUGAUUCCGAGAGUAGCGGCGAGCGAAAUUGGAAGAGCCUAAAUUGUGUGUACGUGAUAGCCUGCAAGCGUUGUGCACAUGAGGUUGUGGGACUUGCAUCAUAUUUUGCAGAAUAUGGAUUGAGUUAGAAAAUUAUUUAUUAGUUAAAGUCAACUGGGAAGUUGCGCCAUAGAGAGUGAUAGCCUCGUAAACGACAAUAAAUAAUCUCAAGUAAGUAUCCCGAGUAAGGCGGGGCACGUGAAACCCUGUCUGAAUCCACCGGGACCAUCCGGUAAGGCUAAAUACUAGUCAGUGACCGAUAGUGAACGAGUACAGUGAUGGAAAGGCGAAAAGAACAGUGAGAAGCUGAGUGAAAUAGACCCUGAAACCGUUAGCUUACAACCAGUCAGAGCACAAUUAAUUGUGUGAUGGCGUGCCUGUUGAAGAAUGAGCCGGCGAGUUAUUUUUUGUUGCGAGGUUAAGGAGAUCAUAUCCGGAGCCACAGGGAAACCGAGUCUGAAUAGGGCGUUAAGUAACAGGAAAUAGACCCGAACCUUGGUGAUCUAACCUUGACCAGGAUGAAGCGUGGGUAACACUACGUGGAGGUCCGAACCAACCGAUGUUGAAAAAUCGGUGGAUGAGUUGAGGUUAGGGGUGAAAUGCCAAUCGAACCAAGAGCUAGCUGGUUCUCCCCGAAAUGCGUUUAGGCACAGCGUUGGAUUUAUCUUGCAGGAGGUAGAGCACUGGUUUUGUGCGGGCGUCGAAAUGAUGUACCAAACAAUGUCAAACUCCGAAUACCUGUAAUGUCAUUAUCCAGCAGUGAGGCUAUGAGUGAUAAGAUCCAUGGCCAAGAGGGAAACAGCCCAGAACGCCAGUUAAGGUCCCUAAUAUAUGCUAAGUGGUUAAGGAGGUAGAGUUACUGAGACAACCAGGAGGUUGGCUUAGAAGCAGCCAUCCCUUGAAAGAGUGCGUAAUAGCUCACUGGUCAAGUGACUCCGCGCCGAAAAUACACCGGGACUAAAGCAUAUAACCGAAGCUGCGUCAUAUAGUUUACUAUAUGGGUAGGGGAGCGUACUGUAGUAAGACGAAGCUAGAGUGAAAACACUAGUGGAUGAGGCAGUAGUGAGAAUGUCGGCAUAAGUAGCGAAAACAUUGGUGAGAAUCCAAUGCACCGAAAACCUAAGGUUUCCCACGGCAGGCUCGUCCGCGUGGGGUUAGUCGGAUCCUAAGCUCAGGCCAAACGGCGUAGGCGAUGGACAAUAGGUUGAUAUUCCUAUACUAUCUGAUAAUCGUUAUCAGAAGCGGAGGGACGCAAGAGGAUAAGCACGCAGUCGACUGGAAGAGACUGUAUAAGCGUGUAGCUAGGUUUGACAGGAAAAUCCGUCAAAUCGUUAAUGUGAGGCGUGAUGUGGAGAGUCUACGGACUCGAAGGUGUUGACUCCAAAUUGCCAAGAAAAUCUUCGCUCUCGAGAUUAUUGGGUAUCCGUACCGUAAACCGCCACAGGUAGGUUGGUAGAAAAUACUAAGGUGCGCGAGACAACUCUCGCUAAGGAACUCGGCAAAAUCACCUCGUAACUUCGGGAGAAGAGGUACCCUGGUAGCGUGAAGCGAUUUACUCGUGAAGCGUGAUAGGGUCGCAGUGAAUAGGCCCAAGCGACUGUUUACCAAAAACACAGGUCUCUGCUAAGUCGAAAGACGACGUAUAGGGGCUGACGCCUGCCCGGUGCCGGAAGGUUAAGAGGAGAGCUUAGCGCAAGCGAAGGUUUGAAUUGAAGCCCCGGUAAACGGCGGCCGUAACUAUAACGGUCCUAAGGUAGCGAAAUUCCUUGUCAGGUAAGUUCUGACCCGCACGAAUGGCGUAACGAUUUGGGCGCUGUCUCGGCGAGAGGCUCGGCGAAAUUGGAUUAUCCGUGAAGAUACGGAUUACGUGUACCAGGACAGAAAGACCCUAUUGAGCUUUACUGUAGCUUGAAAUUGAAUUCGGGUUCUCAUUGCGCAGUAUAGGUGGGAGACUAUGAAGCUUGAACUUUGGUUUAAGUGGAGUCAUCGUUGAGAUACCACUCUGUGAAAAUUUGGAUUCUAACCUUGAUCCCUCAAAGAACAGGGCAAGGGACAGUUUCUGGUAGGCAGUUUGACUGGGGCGGUCGCCUCCUAAAAAGUAACGGAGGCGUUCAAAGGUUCCCUCAGGUUGGUCGGAAAUCAACCGUUGAGUGCAAUAGCAAAAGGGAGCUUGACUGUGAGACCUACAAGUCGAGCAGGUACGAAAGUAGGAUAUAGUGAUCCGGUGGUUCUGCAUGGAAGGGCCAUCGCUCAUCGGAUAAAAGUUACCAUAGGGAUAACAGGCUUAUCUCCCCCAAGAGUCCACAUCGACGGGGAGGUUUGGCACCUCGAUGUCGGCUCGUCGCAUCCUGGAGCGGUAGUACGUUCCAAGGGUUGGGCUGUUCGCCCAUUAAAGCGGCACGCGAGCUGGGUUCAGAACGUCGUGAGACAGUUCGGUCCAUAUCCGGUAUACGCGCAAGAGAUUUGAACGGAGUCUUCCUUAGUACGAGAGGACCGGGAAGAGGGGACCUCCAGUGUACGGGUUAUUCUGCCAAGAGUAAACGCCCGGUAGCUGUGUUCCAAGCGGAUAAGUGCUGAAAGCAUAUAAGUACGAAGCCCACCGUAAGAUGAGAUCUCUCAUAGCAUAAGCUAGUAAGUCCCGUUGCAGAUUACAACGUUGAUAGGUCGCAGGUGUAAGAGUGGCAACAUUUUCAGCCGAGCGAUACUAAUAGGACGAGGGCUUUCCUUA
rnacentral:rRNA from 1 species